rnacentral:misc_RNA from 1 species
AAAUAAUUUAUUUCAAAUAAAUUCAAUAUGCAAAGCUAAAGGGAGGAGAGAGGAGGGGCUUGUAAGUUACAAGAAUUUGACAAAAAUUUCAGAGUUCAAAGAACUCUUUUAAGAUUGGACCACCUAAUCUAAAAUAAAAAUCUGUAGGCCUGCUUAGCCGAAAGACAUCACAGGAAUAAUAUGAACUCUUGUUUAAAUGAAUUCACGCUUAAAUGAAUUCCCGUCUGCUUUCAACUUUCAUGGAUAACGACUGCUCCUUUGUCCAGCUAUUAAAAUAAAGAUCAAAUACUGUCGGUGUG